rnacentral:rRNA from 1 species
CCUACGGGGGGCAGCAGUGGGGAAUAUUGGACAAUGGGGGCAACCCUGAUCCAGCAAUGCCGCGUGUGUGAAGAAGGCCUUCGGGUUGUAAAGCACUUUCAGCAGGGAGGAAGAGAUGACGGUUAAUACCCGUUGUUGUGACGUUACCUGCAGAAGAAGCACCGGCUAACUCCGUGCCAGCAGCCGCGGUAAUACGGAGGGUGCGAGCGUUAUUCGGAAUUACUGGGCGUAAAGCGCACGCAGGCGGCUAUUUAAGUCAGAUGUGAAAGCCCCGGGCUUAACCUGGGAACUGCAUUUGAAACUGGAUAGCUAGAGUAUGUUAGAGGAAGGCGGAAUUUCCAGUGUAGCAGUGAAAUGCGUAGAUAUUGGAAGGAACACCGAUGGCGAAGGCAGCCUUCUGGGGCAAUACUGACGCUCAUGUGCGAAAGCGUGGGUAGC